rnacentral:rRNA from 1 species
UACGUAGGUGGCAAGCGUUGUCCGGAUUUACUGGGCGUAAAGGGCGUGCAGGCGGUUUGUUAAGUGCAGGGUGAAAGCUCCCGGCUCAACUGGGAGAGGUCCUUGCAUACUGGCAAACUCGAGGGAGGCAGAGGAAAGUGGAAUUCCUGGUGUAGCGGUGAAAUGCGCAGAUAUCAGGAGGAACACCGGUGGCGAAGGCGACUACCUGGCCUGUUCUUGACGCUGAGGCGCGAAAAGCUAGGGGGAGCAAACGGG